AGUGAACGUUGGCGGUAGGCCUAACACAUGCAAGUCGAACGGCAGCACAGUAAGAGCUUGCUCUUACGGGUGGCGAGUGGCGGACGAGUGAGGAAUACAUCGGAAUCUACUUUUUCGUGGGGGAUAACGUAGGGAAACUUACGCUAAUACCGCAUACGACCUACGGGUGAAAGCAGGGGAUCUUCGGACCUUGCGCGAUUGAAUGAGCCGAUGUCGGAUUAGCUAGUUGGCGGGGUAAAGGCCCACCAAGGCGACGAUCCGUAGCUGGUCUGAGAGGAUGAUCAGCCACACUGGAACUGAGACACGGUCCAGACUCCUACGGGAGGCAGCAGUGGGGAAUAUUGGACAAUGGGCGCAAGCCUGAUCCAGCCAUACCGCGUGGGUGAAGAAGGCCUUCGGGUUGUAAAGCCCUUUUGUUGGGAAAGAAAAGCAGCAGGUUAAUACCCCGCUGUUCUGACGGUACCCAAAGAAUAAGCACCGGCUAACUUCGUG
rnacentral:rRNA from 1 species